CUAAAUACACUGUUAGAUUCGGCAUAACAAAUAAAUAAAUGUGAUCAAAGUUUUUAAUAAAAUGCUCCGCUGGGGCGCAGCUUGAUACGACCGCAGAGGUUGAACCCUGAACAGUUGGGGCAAGUAUGGACACAACAUUCAAGCUUGAUACAGCUCUGAAUUUGGAUUGUUAUUAAAUAUUUGACACAGCAUAGGUUUCUGACACAGAAAGAAUGUGGUCUAAGAACUUGAAU